CACGCUGUAAACGAUGGGUGCUGGGUGCUGGGAUGUAUGUCUCGGUGCCGUAGCUAACGCGAUAAGCACCCCGCCUGGGGAGUACGGUCGCAAGGCUGAAACUCAAAGAAAUUGACGGGG
rnacentral:rRNA from 1 species